rnacentral:rRNA from 1 species
CCUACGGGAGGCAGCAGUGAGGAAUAUUGGUCAAUGGGCGCGAGCCUGAACCAGCCAAGUAGCGUGAAGGAUGACUGCCCUAUGGGUUGUAAACUUCUUUUAUAUGGGAAUAAAACGUUCCACGUGUGGGAUUUUGUAUGUACCAUAUGAAUAAGGAUCGGCUAACUCCGUGCCAGCAGCCGCGGUAAUACGGAGGAUCCGUGCGUUAUCCGGAUUUAUUGGGGUUAAAGGGUGCGUAGGCGGUCCGGAAAGUCAGCGGUAAAAGCCCGGGGCUCAACCCCGGCGAGCCGUUGAAACUGUCGGACUAGAGACGGCGAGAAGUACGCGGAAUGCGCGGUGUAGCGGUGAAAUGCAUAGAUAUCGCGCAGAACUCCGAUUGCGAAGGCAGCUUACUAAACUGCCACUGACAUUGAUGCUCGAAAGUGUGGGUAUCAAACAGGAUUAGAUACCCUUGUAGUC